CCCAAAGUUCAAUACGCGCAGUUUCUGAGUAAUUUACAUUUUUGAUAAGGAAGUGCACUUUUAAUAACGGGCUGGCAGAAAACCCAAAAUAUAACAGUGAAAUUUCAACAGCGAGGUACUCGUCGCGCUUGUCAUAUCAAACUGUGAGAUAAAAAUGUAAAGAGAGAUAUUUAUCUGUUAAGAACAUAAAAAGUUCUACAAAUUGCCAAAGAAUUCAGUUUUCCGUUGCCUAAAAGAAACAUGUCAUAUCAUGCUGUUAUCAUGAUCAAUCUAGUAUGUACAAAAUGUAUGUUAUGCAAUAUUUUGAAACAUUUAAGUUAUAUUUACUCUGUCAAGGCUAACGAUUGACAUACCUGUUGUGUCCUAAUCGGAAUAAAAUCGCGAAAUGUGAAAAUCCCUUUUGCAACGUAACCAUUGACAAGACAAGAAAAAACUACGAGGAACACUACCUGGUAUCCGUCUAGACUUCGUACAGCUGUUCUGCCUCAAAUGCACAAUGUAUGUUUUAAUUUUACAAGUGGUAUCUAACACCUGUUUGCAUAGUGUUCCUCGCUUGUUGUUCAAAUUUAUGGACUUUUGCAUGUCAGUAUGAUAUUGAUACUUCGAAUAAUGCCUUCGUCUCCAAGAGCGACCAUGUGGACCUGAAAUAGAUUCAGCUAAGUUGGAAACCAUGAAGUUGAAGUCUUGAUGAAUUCCGAAAUCACUUCUCCAGUACUUGCCCGACUAAUCCGUAAUUGUUCCACCAAACUUGUUAUGCAACCAACAUUGGAAGCAAUGUGGUCUUGAAGAAGUGACAUUUGUUUUUGGAGCAAUCAUACUUUUAGGAAGGUUUCUGUGGCUUCAUAUCAACUGAGUCAUUCUGUGGAGGAUUUUUAGAAAACACAUAAAAGAGAAUGAUGUAGAUUGCAAGACCGGCAAUGGAGACAGCGUUUUCUGGAUAAUCCAAAAGAACGUCAACAAUGAUGUAGGCUGUCAGGAAAACAAACACGGCAAACAGUAAGAAUCUGUAAAUGAAGAGGAGAGAGAAUAAUUUCAUUAUCUACAUAUAGCUAAGUACUUCGUUAUUAGCUUGAAAAUACGGAUGUAUAUUUAAUUGCUGUAAGAAAAUUUAGAAAUUCAUUUCAAAAUUAAGGAUAAUCUCCCUCAUCCAUAGCUCUUAUCCUUAGAAGAAUUUGAUUCCAUUUUUUCUGCACUCUGUUUUCCCCUAAAAUAGCUCUUAAAGUUUAUUGUUAUUUCGGAUUUCAAACAUUUUAGUUUGAAAGAGCAUCUCUGAAGAGACAUUAUUUGUCGAAAUGCUCAUCUGGUGCAUCAAAAUUGGUACCAUAUAAGUUUUACAUCUAAUUUGACUUCCUUUUCAAUCAUCAAAGAAAUUAUUGUUCGUUUCAUCUAAUGUUAUUUCAUGUAUUGCUCGUAUUGUACAGAUCACUUAAUCAUGAGUCCCUUACCGGUGUAUAUAUCGCCUUGUCUUCUUCAGCCCUUUACAGGUUGACCCAAUUCUCUGACAGAAUGUACCGAUGCUAGAUUGACACAGGCGUUGGAAAAUAUGAAUCAAGAGGAAUAUCACUCCUAUUAUCGAGCAAACCAGAAAUCGGAUCGAACCCUCGUCCCCAAACCUGUAGUACAUGGCGUAACCGAGGCCAGCAACAAAUGCUACCAGCGAAAGAAUGUUCAACACACUGCGCCGCAUCAAAUCGUAUCUGCUAUUAACUAAGACCCAAGUUAGACUAAAUAACCUGAUGAUCCUUCACGUAUAUCAA